AUGAAGUCAUGUUUCCCAUUCUAGGAAUCUCUCCUGGGACUCAAGAUAAAUCUUUCAGCACCCUUUUAUUCCAUAGCCAGAGAUUGCUUUCUGAUUGCUUGGAAAUGCCUCAGUGCUUCUAUGUGGGAAAGAAAGAAAUUCAUGAACUCCUAGAUGGCUUUCGAUCUGACCAGUACAGCAUCCCUGAGACCACCUAAUAAUGAAACAACUGAAUGUAGACAACAAACCCAUGAAUGUGAGAUGGAGAGUAAACCUAUCUUUAACUUGGAGCAAGAGACAUCAAGAUGCUUUCUGAUCACUGAGAUUUUGGGGUGAAAACAAGGUCAGGAGAAGCUCCUUAAAGGACAGACCAGAGAAGCACCUUAACUACCAGGACAUGUGACAGUCCCUUCUGAACAACUUCAAAGGGCUAUAGAAGAAGACAAAGGUCUCAGCCCAGGAACUGCAAUAACCACAGCUACUGGGACAGAGUGCAGAUCUGAGGAAAAGGGGGCAAAAGCCAGAAGUCCAAGGAGGAGACAGCAGGGACACUCAUG